rnacentral:rRNA from 1 species
CUCAGUUCGGAUCGAAGUCUGCAACCCGACUUCAUGAAGCUGGAUUCGCUAGUAAUCGCGCAUCAGCCACGGCGCGGUGAAUACGUUCCCGGGCCUUGUACACACCGCCCGUCAAGCCAUGGGAGCCGGGGGUACCUGAAGUGCGUAACCGCAAGGAGCGCCCUAGGGUAAAACUGGUGACUGGGGCUAAGUCGUAACAAGGUAAC